CCUACGGGAGGCAGCAGUGAGGAAUAUUGGUCAAUGGACGAGAGUCUGAACCAGCCAAGUAGCGUGAAGGAUGACUGCCCUAUGGGUUGUAAACUUCUUUUAUAUGGGAAUAAAACAGGGUAUGCAUACCAUCUUGUAUGUACCAUAUGAAUAAGGAACGGCUAACUCCGUGCCAGCAGCCGCGGUAAUACGGAGGAUCCGAGCGUUAUCCGGAUUUAUUGGGUUUAAAGGGAGCGUAGGUGGAUUGUUAAGUCAGUUGUGAAAGUUUGCGGCUCAACCGUAAGAUUGCAGUUGAAACUGGCAGUCUUGAGUACAGUAGAGGUGAGCGGAAUUCGUGGUGUAGCGGUGACAUGCUUAGAUAUCACGAAGAACUCCGAUUGCGAAGGCAGCUCACUGGACUGCAACUGACACUGAUGCUCGAAAGUGUGGGUAUCAAACAGGAUUAGAUACCCGAGUAGUC
rnacentral:rRNA from 1 species